GAAAUGCAUGGAUGUGGUCAGAUGGGAGCGCAUAUUCAUUCCCCAACUGGGCUCCCAACAAGCCACUGAGUGAAGACAACUACUCCUGUGGCACCACAUAUUUAGAGAAGUGGCACAACAGUGCAUGUAAUGGCUACAAUUACUUCCUCUGUUACACUGAUGUCAAGGACCAGAGACUGUUGAAGGUGGAGCUGAAGACAACAGAUGCCUCUGUGGACAUGGAGGUGCUGCAGAAUGACAUCUUGGAAAAGUUCAAUCAGAGGCUGAUGGAGAACGGUCUGAGUGAAUUCACGCUGAGAUGGGUGAAGCAGCUUGAUGGAAACAUCUUCCACAAAAAGGAACAAGAGGAGGAGAAAGAGGAGACUGAAGAGGAG
ensembl:lncRNA